AGCGAACGCUGGCGGCAGGCUUAACACAUGCAAGUCGAACGGGCGUAGCAAUACGUCAGUGGCAGACGGGUGAGUAACGCGUGGGAACGUACCUUUUGGUUCGGAACAACCCAGGGAAACUUGGGCUAAUACCGGAUAAGCCCUUACGGGGAAAGAUUUAUCGCCGAAAGAUCGGCCCGCGUCUGAUUAGCUUGUUGGUGAGGUAACGGCUCACCAAGGCGACGAUCAGUAGCUGGUCUGAGAGGAUGAUCAGCCACAUUGGGACUGAGACACGGCCCAAACUCCUACGGGAGGCAGCAGUGGGGAAUAUUGGACAAUGGGCGGCAAGCCUGAUCCAGCCAUGCCGCGUGAGUGAUGAAGGCCCUAGGGUUGU
rnacentral:rRNA from 1 species